rnacentral:rRNA from 1 species
UCUCAGUUCAGAUUGCAGGCUGCAACUCGCCUGCAUGAAGUCGGGAUUGCUAGUAAUCGUAGGUCAGCAUACUACGGUGAAUACGUUCCCGGGCCUUGUACACACCGCCCGUCAAACCAUGAGAGUUGGCAACACCCGAAGUCGGUAGUCUAACCGCAAGGAGGACGCCGCCGAAGGUGGGGUUGAUGAUUAGGGUUAAGUCGUAACAAGGUAAC